rnacentral:rRNA from 1 species
UUCAGAGGAACCUGUCCUGUAAUUGAUAAUCCACGAUUUAAAUUACUUAUUUUAUUAAUUUGCAUAUCGUCGUAGUUUGAAUAUUUUUAAAAAAAUAUAAUAUUCAAGAUUUUUUUUUUAUAAAGUAAUUCAGAUCAAGGUGUAGUUUAUAAAUAAGAAGAGAUGGGUUACAAUAAAUUUAUUUAUAUGGAAAAUGAUUUUAAAAAUUAUUUGAAAGUGGAUUUGAAAGUAAUUUAAAUUAAUUAAUUUAAAUGAUUUUAGCUCUAAAAUAUGUACAUAUCGCCCGUCAUUUUCAUUAUAAAGUGAAACAAGUCGUAACAUAGUAGGCGUACUGGAAAGUGUGCCUAGAAUGGCAAAUUAGAGCUUGUUUUUAAGCAUUUUAUUUACAUUAAAAAGUUUAUUGUGAAAAUCAAUAUGAUUUGAUUAAAUUUUAUUAUUAAAAUCUAAAAUUUUUAUAUAUUUUAAAAAAAUAAUUUAUUGUUUUAUUACAAAAAUGAAAAAAUUUAUAUUAAUUAUAGUAAAUUAGUAUUGUGAAAGAAUUAAUUUAUAAAAAUAAAAGAAUAAUUUUGUUUUAAAAAACAUGGCCUUUUGAAUUUAAUUUAAGGUUUAACCUGCCCAAUGAAAAUUUAAAUGGCCGCAGUAUCCUAACUGUGCAAAGGUAGCAUAAUCAUUUGUUUUUUAAUUGAAAGCUGGAAUGAAAGGUUGAAUGAGAAAAUAACUGUCUCUAUUUAAUUUUCUUAGAAUUUUAUUUUUAAGUUAAAAAGCUUAAAUAUUUUUUGAAGACGAGAAGACCCUAUAGAGUUUAAUAAUUUAAAAUAUAAAAAAUUUAGAAUUAAUUUUUUUUAUGUAAAAAAAUUAUUUAAUUGGGGUGAUUAAAAAAUUUAAAUAACUUUUUUUUUAUUAUUACAUAAAUUAAUGAUUAAUUGAUCCUUUAAAAGAUUAAAAGAUUAAAUUACCUUAGGGAUAACAGCGUAAUUUUUUUUUAGAGUUCAAAUUAAAAAAAAAGAUUGCGACCUCGAUGUUGGAUUAAAAUAAAAAAUUGGUGUAGAAGCUAAUUUAUUGAGUCUGUUCGACUUUUAAAAUUUUACUUGAUCUGAGUUCAAACCGGUGUGAGCCAGGUUGGUUUCUAUCUCAAAUUAGUUAAUAUAUUUUAGUACGAAAGGACCAAAUAUAUGAUUAAUAAUUUAUUUUAUGAAUACCAUUAAUUAUUUUGGCAGAAUAGUGCAAUAGAUUUAGAAUCUUUAAAUGUAAAUUUUUACAAAUAAUACUUGUUAAUAAAAGAUUUUUUUAUAAUUUUAAUUUCUUGUUUAAUUUUAUCUUUUAGGGUAAUAAUUGGUGUAGCUUUUUUAACUUUAUUAGAACGAAAAGUUUUAGGAUAUAUUCAAAUUC